ACGAAGGCUUCGGCCUUAGUGGCGCACGGGUGCGUAACGCGUGGGAAUCUGCCCUUGGGUUCGGAAUAACAGUUAGAAAUGACUGCUAAUACCGGAUGAUGACGAAAGUCCAAAGAUUUAUCGCCCAGGGAUGAGCCCGCGUAGGAUUAGGUAGUUGGUGGGGUAAAGGCCUACCAAGCCGACGAUCCUUAGCUGGUCUGAGAGGAUGAUCAGCCACACUGGGACUGAGACACGGCCCAGACUCCUACGGGAGGCAGCAGUGGGGAAUAUUGGACAAUGGGCGAAAGCCUGAUCCAGCAAUGCCGCGUGAGUGAUGAAGGCCUUAGGGUCGUAAAGCUCUUUUACCAGGGAUGAUAAUGACAGUACCUGGAGAAUAAGCUCCGGCUAACUCCGUGCCAGCAGCCGCGGUAAUACGGAGGGAGCUAGCGUUGUUCGGAAUUACUGGGCGUAAAGCGCACGUAGGCGGUUAUUCAAGUCAGAGGUGAAAGCCCGGGGCUCAACCCCGGAACUGCCUUUGAAACUAGAUGACUGGAAUCUUGGAGAGGUCAGUGGAAUUCCGAGUGUAGAGGUGAAAUUCGUAGAUAUUCGGAAGAACACCAGUGGCGAAGGCGACUGACUGGACAAGUAUUGACGCUGAGGUGCGAAAGCGUGGGGAGCAAACAGG
rnacentral:rRNA from 1 species